UACGGAGGGGGCUAGCGUUGUUCGGAAUUACUGGGCGUAAAGCGCACGUAGGCGGCUUUGUAAGUUAGAGGUGAAAGCCCAGGGCUCAACCCUGGAAUUGCCUUUAAGACUGCAUCGCUUGAACAUCGGAGAGGUAAGUGGAAUUCCGAGUGUAGAGGUGAAAUUCGUAGAUAUUCGGAAGAACACCAGUGGCGAAGGCGACUUACUGGAUGAUUGUUGACGCUGAGGUGCGAAAGCGUGGGGAGCAAACAGG
rnacentral:rRNA from 1 species